UAAGCGGAGGAAAAGAAACUAACNAGGAUUCCCCUAGUAACUGCGAGUGAAGCGGGAAAAGCUCAAAUUUGGAAUCUGGUGGUCUUUGGCCAUCCGAGUUGUAAUUUAGAGAAGCGUCUUCCGCGCUGGACCGUGCACAAGUCUCCUGGAAUGGAGCGUCAUAGAGGGUGAGAAUCCCGUCUUUGGCAUGGAAUCCCAGGGCUUCUGUGAUGCGCUCUCGACGAGUCGAGUUGUUUGGGAAUGCAGCUCAAAAUGGGUGGUGAACUCCAUCUAAAGCUAAAUAUUGGCGAGAGACCGAUAGCGAACAAGUACCGUGAGGGAAAGAUGAAAAGCACUUUGGAAAGAGAGUGAAACAGUACGUGAAAUUGUUGAAAGGGAAACGCUUGAAGUCAGUCGCGUCGACCGAGACUCAGCCUUGCCUCGGCUUGGUGUACUUCUCGGCUUGACGGGUCAGCAUCGAUUUCAAUCCUCGGAUAAUGGCAAGGGAAAGGUAGCACCUUUUUAGGUGUGUUAUAGUCCUCUGUCGCAUGCGAGGGUCGGGAUCGAGGAACUCAGCACGCACCUCAGGGUGUCGGGGCCUUGGCCCACGUUUACGUGCUUAGGAUGCUGGCGUAAUGGCUUUAAACGACC
rnacentral:rRNA from 1 species